GUAACGCUAAAGGGACGUUCCCAAAUUCAUCUAUGUAUUCAUUUGUUUAGAUCUUUAAAACUGAACGGUUUGACAAUCCGACUACUGAUUCGUAAUGAACAACAUUAACAUACAUGUAACUUAUUUGCAAAAUUAAAAUUUUAUCAAGUCUUCAAAUAUACAACGUGUUGUAUCUACAUAUAUGAAUAUUUGGGAAACUGAAUCAUUAUUUUCAUGAAAAAAUGACGAUCCUCUAAAAGUUAAAGAUUGUCGAACGUAUCCUGUGCAACUGCCUGAGUACAAGAUGUCGGUACAAAGAGUAGAGUCCUGUAAGCGGGAAGAGAUAGCGAUGAUGCUGGAAAUUAGUGUAACAUGUACCAGUUGCCCCUUGGGGUAGAACUAGAAAUCAGAGGAUAUCGUUCCUUAUGAGAAAGAUCAGGUCUAAAGAGCAAUCCCAGAGUUAGCUAAGCUCGAAGUCCCAAAGGCAGGACCAUGAGGGUUACUGCUAUGCAGCAGGUCCAGGGGGAUGGUAUCAUGAAGGGAAUGCAAAACAUCCUGAUUAAUGUUCCACUUUAGAGAGGAAAUGGAAGUACCAAAAAAUGGGCUUUCCCAUCCACGCAAGUGAGAAUAAGAUACAAUUAUUAAAUAAUCUUACAGUUUUAAAAUUCUUGCAAAACUUGCAACACCGUGAAGAAACUUAUUCAGCCGAAGCAACGGAGAUUUCUAAUUCCCUCGUGAAAACCGGCAUUAAGAAUUAUAUACUAAUAAGAAUAAUCUGAAUGAGACUGUCUUUAUAAAAGCGCUAGAAUAAACUUGCUACACUUUCAAAGAAUGCUUUUCGUAAUUUUAGUCAUAUUUUUGUAAAUAAGCAGAAAUAAGUAACAGCAGUGAUAUAUAUUGUUUGUAAAUACUCACUAAUAAAUAAUACCUAGUUUCACUUGCAAUAUGUAAAUAUAUUUUAGCAAGUGUAAUCUAAUUACAACUAGUAUGCCACAUCUCAAACCCUGCUCCAGGUAUUUUAUCCACAAAGUUUCUUCAGUUCAGUGUAAUUCUUUUGAAAUUGACAUUAUGUUUCACAUUUGUACGUAUAAUGAUGUAAGUGCGAGAUAGUACGUGCGAAUCAGGUGCGACCAAACUCAAGCUGACGUGCUAGGUUUUGAAGUACGUGUGAGAGAGGGGAUGAUUCGCGAGUACGCGAAACAAAGGCAGCAGUAGAUAUCGAGAUCGUAACAUUACUGUCACGCUUGUACGCUGUCACCAAUAUUUGUGCAUCAGUGCGUGUAAUAAAGAUCGUAAUACGUUAAUACAUUUUUCUUCAUAACUUCCGUUUACUGCAUGUUAAGUGUUUAAAUGAAACAUAAGUUUCACACGUGCUCAUUAGAUGGAAUGACGGAAAUUCCUGUUUUCUCUGUUACAAGCAAACAAAAAACGUGAAAACACUUUCUUGGUACUUCAAUUUUCUUCCUUCGUUUAUGAAUAUUUUAAAAAACAUUUACUGUCUAUAGACAUUUUAUAAACAUUUACUUUUGGUUUAUAUUUUAAUAUUCAUGUAGGUAAAAAUACUUUGAAUAUGUACUAACGAAUUUUAAAAAUGACAAGGAUAGAAGUUUUCCAACUUUCAAAUUAACCAACCAGUUUUUCAGACUCAUUAUUAAGUUGCUAACGAACCAAUUGUAAACAAAUCUCUGAUAUUAAAUUAUACGCAUAAUUUUGAGUAUUGUAAUUACGCAACAAUGUUCUGAUUUAAAGCAAAAUUUAUGUAAAUGUGUUUAAAUUGAUACACUGGAACACGGUUAUUUUGAAAUAAAAUAUUAUGUUAAUGAUCCGCAUAUCUACCUGCAGUGAUAAUCCCCGUGCUUAAAUACUUAACCGUGCAAUUGGCGAAAAUGGGUUUUCUUAUCGAUCAACGAGGAUUAACGGACACUCGGUUUACGUCCUCGUAUAACUUCAUUAUUUUAUCCUAUUUUCCAAUUGAGUUCAUGUACCUGCUAAAAUUACGAACACAAAUUUAUUCGAUUAUUAUCUUUCUGUGGGUUUACAAGAAAUACGAAUAAAUAUACAGAAGCAAACUCGAAAUUAAAUACAUUACAGUUUAAAAUCAUCUACAAUAUUAUGAUUAUACGGGACAGAAACAUUGUAAUAUAGAAACAAAUUAAUUCGCUAGGAAUAAAAAUGAAAAACAUAAGACAUUGUUUUUUAUCAGUACUUAUUAUUUAACAUAUUAAUUUUGACGACAAGAAAACUGCAUUCAUAUUGGAAUGCGAAGAAGGCUGCGGUGUAAAGAUGAGUCAACCUUUUGCCUUGCGAUUAUGUAAGACUGACUGACCUUUAGGUUCGUUCAUGGCAUGCAGCAUUUACGUAAUUUACCGAUUACUGAUGUAUUAGUCUUCUGAACCUAGAAACUAGUUCUUCUUCUCAUUCUAAUAUUUUUAAGAAAACCAGGAUUCAUUUUGUAAACUGAGCACACAGUGUUCAGACUGUGGUCUACAGUAUAAGUAGUGUCAAAGUGAGGUGUAAACGUCUCCUUCCUUCUCUGCUGCAUGUAUGGUAACGGUUGUUAAUGAACCAACAUGACAGUAAUGUCAUAUCAUAUUUAUCCUUUCAGUAUACCGUCUGCGGUUAUCUAUUUAUACGUAUUACGCAUAAUGCAGUUUCAGUUACAAAAUUACUUUAAUUUAAAUAUUGUAUUUUAAACGUUAGACUUUUUAGGAAUAGUUGUACAAAGAUCAGUUUUUUUAUCAUUUGCAUUUUUCAUUUAUUACUUGUUAGCUUACUAUACGAAUAUGUCAAGAAAUCGUAGUGUAAAACCAUAUUUGCUAUGGAAUUUUAUUUAUCAUUUACAUUAUAAACGUUUCUUGGAGAUACAUAUUAUGAACAGUAUAAGGUAAUUAGAAAUGAAUGUUUUGUUCCUCCCUUUUGUGUUCUUAAAAAAACAGAUAUUUUAUUUACAAGUAAUCAUUGAUUGCUAUUUAGCCAUUUAUAGUUGCUCACAAGUGUAUUUAAAUAUAAUAAGAAAUUUUUUUAUAAUGAAUAUUUUUAUUUCGUAAUAAUUCAUUCUACUUGUAAAAAUUCCAUUAAAGCAUACAAGUUUAUCAUUCGACUAAUUUUUUAUUUUUGUUUUAUUGAUUUAAUCAUUUAUUUAUAGGAUAUAAUGAGGCGUCGAAUAUAUAUGUGACCUUGUUUAGAAAAUUUAAUGUCAGCUGAUAUUACAGAAAAUAUUCAAUAAAUGUAAAAUGAAAGUCCCCUUGAAUAAAGUAUAUCUUUUACACUUUUUAUAUUUUAAAUACUUCUUAUUUUUCUCAUUAAUAAAUAAGUGUCUAGAUGUGUAAACUGUAUUUGGAUUGUAAAUUAUAUGUAUUUUACGUAAAAAAAUAGAAAUUGGAGUAUUUAAAAAUUAGAAAAUUAAAUAUUUAGUAUUUGAAAAUUAAAUGGAUUUAUUAGUACUAAGCGUAUCGACAUUUUAUGUAUAUUUAUUUCUACUGUAACCAGUGAAAUACUUACGUGGUUACAAAAUGAGGGUGAACAAAUUAGGAGAUAAAUUUUUCUUAGCGGAAACAGGAAGAAAAGGAAAUAUAAAAAUUAAAACACUAAUUAAUCGAACAAUAUAGGGACUCAUACAAAUUUAAAUGAACGAAGGAAAAAGCCGGUUGUUUGACCUGUUACGG